UGACCCCAGCCAACUGCCACCAAGGCUACUCCAACCUCCAGUGUGCUAGGAUUCUAGAACAAGCCCAGCUCCAACUGUCACUCUGAGUGUGGCCUGGCCUGGCCUCCCUGAGCCUGUUUCCUCGUCUGGAAAGGGACGUGGACCCCAAGGUGCCACCUCUGAUCAACAGGGAAGGGGGUGACAGGACACUUUGCUGCCUCGCUUACAUGAAGCUUCCAACGUCUGCUCAGGAAGCAUCCACUAAGAAUCCUUCAGGUGGCCAGACACUUCUCCUCAGCCAGCUGGGACAUACGUCAUUGCCAGCUGGGCACUCAGCCUGCAAGAAGCUAAGUCUGGCAGGAUGGACCUGCACAGAAGCCAGAGACCUGCUCAUUGUGCCAGCUCGGCAGCCCCUCCUGGACCAGCCCAGCCAGCACCACCACGUCCCGUGACCAGGGCCCCCUGCCCACAGGCU